UUUUGUUUCUAGCGCGUUUUUUAUUUCAAAACCAACGUUAAUCAAUUACAGUUGUUUUUUCAAACAAUGAAAACAAUUUUAUUGCUCAUUUGUUUUUUCCGUGCUGCCAGAAGUGGUACGAAUGAUUUUUGCCCUGGUUUAACUCAAGCAUGUCCAAACUGGAGCUGACAGAAGAUAUGCUCUUAUCAUCCAGCCCCGUUGUUACAAAUUUAAAUAUAA
rnacentral:lncRNA from 1 species